UACGUAGGGGCCAAGCGUUGUCCGGAAUUAUUGGGCGUAAAGAGCUCGUAGGCGGUUCGUCACGUCGGCUGUGAAAUCCCGAGGCUCAACCUCGGGUCUGCAGUCGAUACGGGCGGACUUGAGUACUGCAGGGGAGACUGGAAUUCCUGGUGUAGCGGUGAAAUGCGCAGAUAUCAGGAGGAACACCGGUGGCGAAGGCGGGUCUCUGGGCAACAACUGACGCUGAGGAGCGAAAGCGUGGGGAGCGAACAGG
rnacentral:rRNA from 1 species